rnacentral:rRNA from 1 species
UACGGAGGGGGCUAGCGUUGUUCGGAAUUACUGGGCGUAAGGCGCGCGUAGGCGGACCUGCAAGUCGGGGGUGAAAGCCCGAGGCUCAACCCCGGAACUGCCUUCGAUACUGCGGGUCUCGAGUCCGGGAGAGGUGAGUGGAAUUCCUAGUGUAGAGGUGAAAUUCGUAGAUAUUAGGAAGAACACCAGUGGCGAAGGCGGCUCACUGGCCCGGUACUGACGCUGAGGCGCGAAAGCGUGGGGAGCAAACAGG